rnacentral:lncRNA from 1 species
ACAGCGGUAACUUGGUUGGGUGUUCUUCUCUGCUGUGUAGGCUUUGUUCUUUUGCUCUUUGCAGUAAAUGUUGCUGCUGCUGACUGUUGGGUCCCAGCCGUCUUUAAAAGCUAUUACACUCACGGUGAAGGUCUGUGGUUUCACUCCUGAAAUCAAGCGAGUGUACGAACCCACCGGAAGGAAGAAACUCCAGACUCCGAAGGAACAAACUCUGGACACACCAAAUGUAAGAAUUGUAACACUCACCGCGACGGUCCGUGGCGUCCACCCUCGCAGCUUCUUUCUUGAAGUCGCCGAGACCAAGAGCGCACCGAAAGGAACCAAUUGUGGACACAUCCGUUUUAGUGGAAUAAUAGUCCUUGGUUCUCUGGACAACCGGGAGAAUUGCAUUUUCUGAGGCCCACGAUAAGCACCCAACCGUUAAUAUUUCCAUGCUUCUCUGUCCAUCCCAUGGAGCCUGGGGCUUGAGGGACUGUGCAGUGAGGCAGCAACUCACAUCUCCAGCUGUUGGACUGGUCCUGCCAGCGACGUCUGCUCAGUAGAACAAGCAGCACUUCCCCCAGCUCAGCACUGUCUCAUUUCUGAGACUGAACACCCCGUGGUCACUCUACAUGGAUGGGUUAAUUUCCCUUGGAAAAGUAUUGAUGAUCAAGUGAUGCUAGCAGCAACAGUGUUAAAGGCUUUAACGCUUUUAAAGGGUGACACAGGCUUAAACUGAGACAAUCCAGCAUGGAACACUUGCAGGAAGUACUAGGAAAGUGCAUUUUCUUUCCAUGAGGGUUGCCAAACUGGAAGCAUGUUAGCUAAAGCUACCUGUAGUCAUUUUGUGGCCACAUUGGGUGAGAUUGUCUGAGAAAGCAAACCAACUGAAGCAGAGCAGAGAAGAUACUCUACCAACCUAGUUGGAGCCCUGGUUCCAGCCUUGCCUGAAGCUAAAUGCACCUCUAUGCUUCCUUUUUACUGACCCAAUAAAUUUCCCUAUUUGUUUAAACAA